ACACAUGCAAGUCGAGGGGCAGCGGGGCGGAAGCUUGCUUUCGCCGCCGGCGACCGGCGCACGGGUGAGUAACACGUAUGGAACCUGCCCUCAGCAGGGGGAUAAGCGGAAGAAAUUCCGUCUAAUACCGCAUAACGCCCCGGGGAGACAUCUCCCCGGGGCCAAAGGAAGCAAUUCCGGCAGAGGAUGGCCAUGCGGCGCAUUAGCUAGUCGGCGGGGUAACGGCCCACCGAGGCGACGAUGCGUAGGGGUUCUGAGAGGAAGGUCCCCCACACUGGUACUGAGACACGGACCAGACUCCUACGGGAGGCAGCAGUGAGGAAUAUUGGUCAAUGGGCGAAAGCCUGAACCAGCCAAGUCGCGUGAGGGAAGACGGUCCUAUGGAUUGUAAACCUCUUUUGUCGGGGAGCAAGGCUCGGUACGUGUACCGAGAAGGAGAGUACCCGAAGAAAAAGCAUCGGCUAACUCCGUGCCAGCAGCCGCGGUAAUACGGAGGAUGCGAGCGUUAUCCGGAUUUAUUGGGUUUAAAGGGUGCGUAGGCGGAUUGUUAAGUCAGCGGUAAAAAUUCGGGGCUCAACCCCGUAGUGCCGUUGAAACUGGCGGUCUUGAGUGGGCGAGAAGUAUGCGGAAUGCGUGGUGUAGCGGUGAAAUGCAUAGAUAUCACGCAGAACUCCGAUUGCGAAGGCAGCAUACCGGCGCCCAACUGACGCUGAGGCACGAAAGCGUGGGGAUCGAACAGGAUUAGAUACCCUGGUAGUCCACGCAGUAAACGAUGAAUGCUAACUGUCCGGGUCGAUUAAGGC
rnacentral:rRNA from 1 species